rnacentral:rRNA from 1 species
AUUGAACGCUGGCGGCAUGCCUUACACAUGCAAGUCGAACGGCAGCACGGGAGCAAUCCUGGUGGCGAGUGGCGAACGGGUGAGUAAUACAUCGGAACGUGCCCAGUCGUGGGGGAUAACGCAGCGAAAGCUGCGCUAAUACCGCAUACGAUCUAUGGAUGAAAGCGGGGGGACCGUAAGGCCUCGCGCGAUUGGAGCGGCCGAUGUCAGAUUAGGUAGUUGGUGGGGUAAAAGGGCUCACCAAGCCAACGAUCUGUAGCUGGUCUGAGAGGACGACCAGCCACACUGGGACUGAGACACGGCCCAGACUCCUACGGGAGGCAGCAGUGGGGAAUUUUGGACAAUGGGCGCAAGCCUGAUCCAGCAAUGCCGCGUGCAGGAAGAAGGCCU